rnacentral:rRNA from 1 species
UUCCAGGAAAAGCCUCUAAGCUUCAGAUUGUAAGGAAUCGUACCCCAAACCGACACAGGUGGUCGGGUAGAGAAUACCAAGGCGCUUGAGAGAACUCGGGUGAAGGAACUAGGCAAAAUGGUACCGUAACUUCGGGAGAAGGUACGCUCUUGAUGGUGAAGUCCCUCGCGGAUGGAGCUGAUGAGAGUCGCAGAUACCAGGUGGCUGCAACUGUUUAUUAAAAACACAGCACUGUGCAAAAUCGUAAGAUGACGUAUACGGUGUGACGCCUGCCCGGUGCCGGAAGGUUAAUUGAUGGGGUUAGCGUAAGCGAAGCUCUUGAUCGAAGCCCCGGUAAACGGCGGCCGUAACUAUAACGGUCCUAAGGUAGCGAAAUUCCUUGUCGGGUAAGUUCCGACCUGCACGAAUGGCGUAAUGAUGGCCACGCUGUCUCCACCCGAGACUCAGUGAAAUUGAAAUCGCUGUGAAGAUGCAGUGUACCCGCGGCUAGACGGAAAGACCCCGUGAACCUUUACUACAGCUUGGCACUGAACAUUGAACCUACAUGUGUAGGAUAGGUGGGAGGCUUUGAAGACGUGACGCUAGUUGCGUUGGAGCCGUCCUUGAAAUACCACCCUUGUAUGUUUGAUGUUCUAACUUAGCCCCGUUAUCCGGGGUGAGGACAGUGCCUGGUGGGUAGUUUGACUGGGGCGGUCUCCUCCCAAAGAGUAACGGAGGAGCACGAAGGUGGGCUAAUCACGGUUGGACAUCGUGAGGUUAGUGCAAUGGCAUAAGCCCGCUUAACUGCGAGAAUGACGGUUCGAGCAGGUGCGAAAGCAGGUCAUAGUGAUCCGGUGGUUCUGUAUGGAAGGGCCAUCGCUCAACGGAUAAAAGGUACUCCGGGGAUAACAGGCUGAUACCGCCCAAGAGUUCAUAUCGACGGCGGUGUUUGGCACCUCGAUGUCGGCUCAUCACAUCCUGGGGCUGAAGUCGGUCCCAAGGGUAUGGCUGUUCGCCAUUUAAAGUGGUACGCGAGCUGGGUUUAGAACGUCGUGAGACAGUUCGGUCCCUAUCUGCCGUGGGCGUUGGAAGAUUGAAGGGGGCUGCUCCUAGUACGAGAGGACCGGAGUGGACGAACCUCUGGUGUUCGGGUUGUGUCGCCAGACGCAUUGCCCGGUAGCUAAGUUCGGAAUCGAUAACCGCUGAAAGCAUCUAAGCGGGAAGCGAGCCCUGAGAUGAGUCUUCCCUGACGGUUUAACCGUCCUAAAGGGUUGUUCGAGACUAGAACGUUGAUAGGCAGGGUGUGUAAGCGUUGUGAGGCGUUGAGCUAACCUGUACUAAUUGCCCGUGAGGCUUAACCAU